rnacentral:rRNA from 15 species
CAGGCUUAACACAUGCAAGUCGAACGGUAACAGAAAUUAGCUUGCUAAUUUGCUGACGAGUGGCGCACGGGUGCGUAACGCGUAUACAAUCUACCUUUUACAGUGGGAUAGCCCAGAGAAAUUUGGAUUAAUACCGCAUAGUAUUAUUAGUUGGCAUCGACUGAUAAUUAAAGUUUCGGCGGUAAAAGAUGAGUAUGCGUUCUAUUAGCUAGAUGGUAAGGUAACGGCUUACCAUGGCAACGAUAGAUAGGGGCCCUGAGAGGGGGAUCCCCCACACUGGUACUGAGACACGGA